rnacentral:tRNA from 2 species
GCCGGCUUAGCUCAUCCGGUAGAGCACCUGAUUUGUAAUCAGGGGGUGGCGGGUUCGAGUCCUGCAGCCGGCACCA